rnacentral:rRNA from 1 species
CAGCAGCCGCGGUAAUACGAAGGGGGCUAGCGUUGCUCGGAAUUACUGGGCGUAAAGGGAGCGUAGGCGGGUCGUUAAGUUGGGGGUGAAAGCCCGGGGCUCAACCUCGGAAUUGCCUUCAAAACUGGCGACCUUGAGUAUGGGAGAGGUGAGUGGAACUCCGAGUGUAGAGGUGAAAUUCGUAGAUAUUCGGAAGAACACCAGUGGCGGAGGCGACUCACUGGCCCAUUACUGACGCUGAGGCUCGAAAGCGUGGGGAGCAAACAGGAUUAGAUACCCCCGUAGUCCCUGUCUCUUAUAC